rnacentral:rRNA from 1 species
GACGAACGCUGGCGGCGUGCCUAAUACAUGCAAGUUGAGCGAUGAAGAUUGGUGCUUGCACCAAUUUGAAGAGCAGCGAACGGGUGAGUAACGCGUGGGGAAUCUGCCUUUGAGCGGGGGACAACAUUUGGAAACGAAUGCUAAUACCGCAUAAUAACUUUAAACAUAAGUUUUAAGUUUGAAAGAUGCAAUUGCAUCACUCAAAGAUGAUCCCGCGUUGUAUUAGCUAGUUGGUGAGGUAAAGGCUCACCAAGGCGAUGAUACAUAGCCGACCUGAGAGGGUGAUCGGCCACAUUGGGACUGAGACACGGCCCAAACGCCUACGGGAGGCAGCAGUAGGGAAUCUUCGGCAAUGGACGAAAGUCUGACCGAGCAACGCCGCGUGAGUGAAGAAGGGUUUCGGAUCGUAAAACUCUGUUGGUAGAGAAGAACGUUGGUGAGAGUGGAAAGCUCAUCAAGUGACGGUAACUACACAGAAAGGGACGGCUAACUACGUG